rnacentral:rRNA from 1 species
UACGGGGGGAGCAAGCGUUGUUCGGAUUUACUGGGCGUAAAGGGCGCGUAGGCGGCGCGACAAGUCACUUGUGAAAUCUCUGAGCUCAACUCAGAACGGUCAAGUGAUACUGUCGUGCUAGAGUGCGGAAGGGGCAACUGGAAUUCUUGGUGUAGCGGUGAAAUGCGUAGAUAUCAAGAGGAACACCUGCGGCGAAGGCGGGUUGCUGGGCCGACACUGACGCUGAGGCGCGAAAGCGUGGGGAGCGAACAGG